CACGUAGGGGGCAAGCGUUGUCCGGAUUCAUUGGGCGUAAAGAGCGUGUAGGCGGUCCGGUAAGUCGGUUGUGAAAGUCCAGGGCUCAACCCUGGGAUGCCGAUCGAUACUGUCGGACUAGAGUUCGGAAGAGGCGAGUGGAAUUCCCGGUGUAGCGGUGAAAUGCGCAGAUAUCGGGAGGAACACCAAUGGCGAAGGCAGCUCGCUGGGACGUUACUGACGCUGAGACGCGAAAGCGUGGGGAGCAAACAGG
rnacentral:rRNA from 1 species